rnacentral:rRNA from 1 species
GACGAACGCUGGCGGCGUGCUUAACACAUGCAAGUCGAACGGAAAGGCCCUGCUUUUGUGGGGUGCUCGAGUGGCGAACGGGUGAGUAACACGUGAGUAACCUGCCCUUGACUUUGGGAUAACUUCAGGAAACUGGGGCUAAUACCGGAUAGGAGCUCCUGCUGCAUGGUGGGGGGUGGAAAGUUUCGGCGGUUGGGGAUGGACUCGCGGCUUAUCAGCUUGUUGGUUGGGUAGUGGCUUACCAAGGCUUUGACUGGUAGCCGGCCUGAGAGGGUGACCGGCCACAUUGGGACUGAGAUACGGCCCAGACUCCUACGGGAGGCAGCAGUGGGGAAUAUUGCACAAUGGUCGGAAGCCUGAGGCAGCAACGCCGCGUGCGGGAUGACGGCCUUCGGGUUGUAAACCGCUUUCGCCUGUGACGAAGCGUGAGUGACGGUAAUGGGUAAAGAAGCACCGGCUAACUACGUG